rnacentral:rRNA from 1 species
GACGAACGCUGGCGGCGUGCUUAACACAUGCAAGUCGAACGAAGUGGCGAACGGGUGAGUAACGCGUAAUCAACCUGCCCUUCAGAGGGGGACAACAGUUGGAAACGACUGCUAAUACCGCCUAUCGAAGGAGGGGAUUGCGUCGGAUUAGCUAGUUGGAGGGGUAACGGCCUACCAAGGCGAGGAUCAGUAGCCGGGCUGGGAGGAUGAACGGCCACAUUGGGACUGAGACACGGCCCAGACUCCUACGGGGGGCAGCAGGGGGGAAUCAUCCGCAAUGGACGAAAGUCUGACGGAGCAACGCCGCGUGAGUGAUGACGGCCUUCGGGUUGGAAAGCUCUGUUAAUCGGGACGCGGUACCGGAAUAGAAAGCCACGGCUAACUACGUGCCAGCAGCCGCGGUAAUUC